CAGUAGAGAGGAGGUAGGUUGGUAGGACCAGUCCUGUUGCAGGGAGGGAGGGAUACCGAAGCCCAGAACAGUUAGGAGAUUCAUCCCACACAUGCCAUGAGCCAACACCAAAGCCAGCUUAAGAGGCCACAGGAUGAAAAGCAAACCCGGGCCAGCAGCACUGAAUCAUGUCUCAGACUCAAGGAGCAAGCCUUUCACUCGCAGAAUGAAGGCUGGCAUGAUGCUCCUGGGGAAGGGCCCACCCUGCUAUCAGCAUAUUGCUCCCUGGCUCUGGAUUCUUUCGGGCCACAGGGCAGCUAAGGACAUUUUGGAACCACAUAAAGAUCUGAAGGUACAACCUGGACCACACACGGUGUGAGACUGCCAAGGUUGGUGCCUGUCUCCUAAAACUGGGGCUGCGUUCCCAGACCAGGACAGAGAAGGAAAAACCUGCUCUGUGGGCGUUGCUGUUCUGCUGAGAGGGAAGAGGUGCUGUGUGUAGGGUGGGUGCCAGUGGGUACUCAUCAAGGACACUCAUUCAAAAGGAAUUGGCGUCCACUGACCCACCCGGAGAACAGGCUCAGGAGCUGAAGUUCCUUCUCGCGGACUUUUGACAGACUAACCCCAAGGUCCUUCCCAGUGGCUCACAAAGGAAGGCCUUACACUGGUAUCAUUCAUAUAUAGCAGUGGAACUUCAGUGCCAGCUGCUAAGGACUCCAUGGGAUAGAACCCCAUGAUCCCAGGGCCUUGCCACUUUUCCAGUUGCCUCAAACCCGAAUCAUGAGACCCCGUCUUACCCUACUCUCCUCCAUGCGUUCUUGUCCCUGAAAGGAGCCCUGUGCAGAAGGCAGGGGAGAGGUGGCUGUGCAGGGCUGCCUGGGCUGACCCUGGCACCAGCAUAUUGCUUCUGGGCUCCAGUGAGCAAAGGGAGACAACUAGCCCCGCCCACUUAUACUCCCGUGGGAGGCAGCUAGCCCCGCCCAGUUAUACUCCUGUGGGAGGCAGCUAGCCCCGCCCACUCAUA